AGAUGGCUCCUUAAGAUAUUUAGUAUGAGAACAGAUUAUGUAAUCAUAGAGACCAAGAAUCCUCACAAGCUUCUAUCUGCUGGAUAUAGACUUAUGGACAAAUCAUUCAGGCCGAGUUGGAAAGUCUAAGAACAUGAAUACAAACUCAAAAAGAGAUGAAGUCAUACCUCAACCUGCUCAUGGAGUGAUGAUCAUUUUAUGACUAUGCAUCUACACAUCUGCUCUUACAUUGGGCCCACUGCCUUCCCUCAGGCUUGUCAGUUUGACAGAAACUACUUUGAGGUCAUCACCAAUAAGCUGACGAGGAAAGGCGAUUGUGCAAUCUUCAACUGUGAGCAAUGGAAACACCGACUCCCAAGGCCCACAAGAGCUCCACAUGAAGUUUUGAAAGACUGGAAAAACUUUUAUGAACCUCAACCUUGUAAGAAAUACAGUAGGAAAAGGCACAUGAUGAUACUAUGUUGGAAACAAGAACAUUUUCUCUGA